UUGGAAACUGUCGAACUUGAGUGCAGUACAGGUAAGUGGAACUCCAUGUGUAGCGGUGGAAUGCGUAGAUAUAUGGAAGAACACCAGUGGCGAAGGCGGCUUACUGGACUGCAACUGACGUUGAGGCUCGAAAGUGUGGGUAGCAAACAGGAUUAGAUACCCUGGUAGUCCACACCGUAAACGAUGAACACUAGGUGUUAGGGGGUUUCCGCCCCUUAGUGCCGAAGCUAACGCAUUAAGUGUUCCGCCUGGGGAGUACGACCGCAAGGUUGAAACUCAAAGGAAUUGACGGGGACCCGCACAAGCGG
rnacentral:rRNA from 1 species